GACGAACGCUGGCGGCGUGCUUUACACAUGCAAGUCGAACGGUGAAGGUGGAGCUUGCUCCGCCGGAUCAGUGGCGAACGGGUGAGUAACACGUGGGCAACCUGCCCCUAACUUUGGGAUAACUACUCGAAAGAGUAGCUAAUACCGGAUAUGAAGUCUGUAGGCAUCUACGGAUUUGGAAAGGUUUUCGGUUAGGGAUGGGCCCGCGGCCUAUCAGCUUGUUGGUGAGGUAGUGGCUCACCAAGGCGACGACGGGUAGCCGGCCUGAGAGGGCGAGCGGCCACACUGGGACUGAGACACGGCCCAGACUCCUUCGGGAGGCAGCAGUGGGGAAUAUUGCGCAAUGGGCGAAAGCCUGACGCAGCAACGCCGCGUGCGGGAUGAAGGCCUUCGGGUUGUAAACCGCUUUCAGCAGGGAAGAAGCGAAAGUGACGGUACCUGCAGAAGAAGCACCGGCUAACUACGUGCCAGCAGCCGCGGUAA
rnacentral:rRNA from 1 species